ACAAGCAGCGGAGCGUGUGGUUUAAUUCGUUGCUACACGAAGAACCUUACCUGGGUUUGACAUAUAGGUUGUAGGGAACUGAAAGGGCGACCUCGGGAGCCUAUACAGGUGUUGCAUGGCUGUCGUCAGCUCGUGUCGUGAGAUGUUCGGUUAAGUCCGCUAACGAGCGCAACCCUCGUCGUAUGUUAUAUGUGUCAUACGAGACUGCCGGUAAAAAGCCGGAGGAAGGUGAGGAUGAUGUCAAGUCAGCAUGACCUUUAUAUCCAGGGCUACACACACGCUACAAUGGUCUGUACAAUGGGUAGCCAAGCCGCGAGGCGGAGCCAAUCCUGAAAGCAGGCCUCAGUUCAGAUUGCAGUCUGCAACUCGACUGCAUGAAGCCGGAGUUGCUAGUAACCGCAGGUCAGCAAUACUGCGGUGAAUACGUUCCCGGGUCUU
rnacentral:rRNA from 1 species